GAAGGUUGAAAAAUCAAGCUCUAAGAAAUUUGGAAAUGCUUGGAUUUAAGUUGCCCAGAUGUUUGCCAGGAUUUGUAUCCAAUUCAGGACCCUUUUUUGCUGUUGGACACAGUGGGAGGAAGUGCAUGCAGCUUGAUAUGCUUCAGUUCCUUGUCUGUGUGACAGCAAGCUACAUUCAGUCCUCUCUCAGAGGUUUCGGGAUUAGUGUUUCAAGUAUUGUGGGAUGUGGAUAUCUUCUGUGAAUACACAGAUGUGCAGGGAUAGUGGCUUUUCCGUGUGGAUGAGCUAGGUCAGCAUGGAGCCCAAGGUAUUUGUCUAGUUCCCAGAAUAUAUGUACUUGAUCCUAUGUCGUUUAUGAGGAUGGCUAGCUGAGUACCCAGCCUUGUCUGUACUCUGUUGUUGACAUGUUUUGUGCCUAUUUUCACUCACAGUAAGCAAGAACACAGAUUUUCACAGCAGUUGUUCAGUUGAGCUUGCUCUUUUUCUGUUGUCAGCAAGUUGUAAGAAUUUUCUUAAUGUUGACUGAAUAACCUGAAUUCCUGGGCGUGUUCUAAGGGAAAGAAUUUUUUUUUUAAUCCAGAAACAGGUCUUCUGCGUAGAAAAUACCACCUCCGGUAGAUCUUGAGCAGAUCUAAGCACUUGAGAACAAGAUCUAGUUAGAAGAAAGCAAUGGCAGAGUUGCUUGUCAAUGUGGCUGCCCAGUCUCUCAUCUGACUGUUGUGGUAUUGUGCCGUGAGUUCCCUGCAGAGACUGGAACCCUGCUAUAGUGGAGUUGGGAAGCACAUUGAACAAACAACUUUGCUUUCUCCAAAGGUUGUCAGGUCAGAAAAAGCAGUGCUAGCUAGCGUGAGUGGACUUCAGAAAUAUCUCUCUUUCCGAUAUCAGACAUGUCAUUUACGCAGUGGUGGGAACGGGAUGAGGUUUUCUAAAAUGUCAUUUGGUAGGGGAAAAAAAAAAUCCCUAGGUGCUUCUGUAUAGAAGUCUAUUCUUUAACUGAAAUUUGUAGUUUACUAUCUUUUUAAGAGCCCUCUAGUACAUAAGGAACACUUCUUCAAACCUUGGCAAGGCCUUCAACCAAGCUUAGAACUUCAGAUUGUAUUUAGGACCAGCUGAUUCACUGGUAGAAAAACACUGGAAUUUUGCACAUAAACCAAUUGAGAACCAAGCCCACAGCUGAGUGUCAGUGUAUUAGUACACUAACUGAUGUUGUGGCUGGACAAACAUUUUCUCAGAGGACAGUGCUGGUUUCAGCAUCUCCAUUCCAUAUUGUCUUUUCAGUUUUGUUGACACAGUUGUUCCUGCACGUGUAUGGAUAUCUGAACUUAAAAUGCCUUGGUAAGAUGGGGGAAAAAGAGGUGGUUUUUUAGCUUGAAUUUGCUCUUCAGUAUGGUUUACUGCAUAAAUCUACCAGUAGUUCAACUAGUCUAACAGAGGCAGGACCGAAUAAAACCAGGCACCUGAUUCACUUCAGCCUGCAACACCACCAGGCAACUCUGGCCAGGCAGUCUGGCAUGGGGUGUCAGUGGGCUGGCCAGUCCCUGUUAAGGUUGUAGCUCUUGAGGCAGGGGUUUCCUUUGGAUGUGCUUAUUUAGAGCAGUCCGGAACAUGUGUAAAUUGUGGAAACAUUGAAGCAGAAAAGAGCAGUUCAGCUUCACCUGCCAUUUCGGCUUACACUGACAUCUGAGUUUCCUCCACUUGAUUCCUUGGAAAGGGGGAAGGCAUGGUCAUGGUUUUAAAUUUGUUACAUAUUGUAGCAAAACCAGUAGAGUACUUGGGCAACUGUGCCUGUGCAGACUUCUCACGUUUUUGAAUAAAUGGUCUGCUACUGAGCCUCUUCAGACCAUUUGCAAUGUGUAGUUUUUGUUUUAAAAGGUAUUUGCCUUGCAGCUCAGGAGCUGUGUCUGUAGCUGUUACCUGCUCAGGGCAUGGGGCUCUACUGGGUUUCAUGGGGAUUUUGCUCCAGGGAGCAUGCAGAAGCCAGGCUCUUGGCCACUCCGCAUUUUUCUUGUCCAGCCUGAAGCUGUGAUCUGCAGUUUGCUGUCGGACAACUACCAGUGGGCAAUGCAAUGGUGUGAAUUGCUGAAGUCCUCCUAUAUGCGUGUGGAGAGAGGUGUGCCAGCUGUCUGAAUUGCACUUGUAUGCUUCAUGCUGCCCACGCGAAUGGUCACCUUGUAGAAACGAAUUAUAAGCAAAGCUAGAAAGCAAAACAACUUACUUGAGAAUACAGGCGAGAAACCGGGAUGCAGAGCGCUAAUCAGACUCAAGGAGACUUGCAUUUGGGGAAGAGGGGAGGCUUUUGCCAUCACAUUCUGUGUGUGCUGGAAUAUGCUAUCAUGCAGGCACCAGCCAGCUUUCCUUAAGGCUCGCCUGGAUGUAGGGCAGGAGCCUAACUUGUCCCUUACUCCUCAAAGUGGGGCUGCAAACGUGUGAAUAACUUGGUCAGGAAUGCUCUCCAGCCGAAUAAAAUAAAACACUGUUCAUGUGUACUGUGAAAGAGGUCAAAGGGAGGUAACCUAAAAUAUUGUAGUGAAGCAGCAGCACUGUUCAAGUGCUUCAGUUUUAGUAGGAUAGCAGUAGGAAUAAGCAGAAUAAGCACUAGUCACAUGCUCAGUGUCUUGUGCAAUUCCCUCAGAGUACCAUUAGUCAAAUCAUAAUACUGUGCCAGCUUCAGGGAGAACUUUUGAACUUGACCAGUGUGGAUGAAAGAAGGAAUCUUAAAACUAAGACAUGGAAACCAUUCACAGAGGGUUUUAAAACCCAAUUUACAGGUUUUUUUUUUUCACACAGACAUGAUCUUACUAAUGUUCUAAGCCUGACAUAUAAGAAUGUGUAUGCCUCUCUAGCUGAAUAUUAAGACAAUGACUGCUUUCAUAUUCCUUGUAGCAGUGAAUUCCUAGAAAUGUAGGUGAUUCCUAAGAUUUGCCGAAGAACUGUCUUGCUGUAGUUAGUUUGGACAAGACAGAACUACUGAUCUAGUUGAGCAGGAUUUUUGCUAUUGCUGAAACCUUUUUGACAGCCAUCCUGUGUCUUCAAUUACUUAUGUGUGAUCUGAAGGAAAAAGGCACUUUCACACAAUCUAAUACAGUAAAAAAAAGCCAAACAGUUCUGAGUUCCUGUCAAAUCCACCCUUGUUUAUCAAAAUAUUCUCAAUGUUUGUGAGAACACAACUAUGCUUUGAACUUAGAGGCAACUUAAGAACCAGAUUGAAACAGGCUAGUUUUACCCUUUUGAUGGGGGGGUCGUUGUGUUUUUCUGUGUUUGUGGUUUGUUGGGGUUUCUCUUAACAGCAGCAGAGUUGAGAAGGUGGCGUUUGUGCAUCUUCGGUUUGCCACUUUUAUUACUUCAACUAUUAUUAGAGAUUGUAGAAGCACCUCUGCUUCCCCCCAGCUCCCCUGCCCCUGUACAGUUCAUAAAUAUUCUGGGCUAUGCCAUUCAUUUUUAAUGCUCUUCUAUUCCUUUUACUUCUUUCAGUUCUUGUGUGGUUGGUGAAAAUAAACCUACGCUGCAGGGAUGCAAGAGGAGCAACAGCCUGAGGCUGCUGCAGAUCCAAUGUCCUCCUCUGAUGCACCAGAAGAUGGCCCAAAGGAAACGUCAAGUGUAUCGCAGAAUAUCUCUGAUGCAGAUGCAUUUAAAAUUCUUCUGGAGAUGAAGAUGAAGAAGAGGCAGAAAAAGCCUACCUUACCAAGCACUGUGACUGAACUUGACACUGAGGAUGGUUCUAAAGUAUAUGUGGUUGGAACAGCCCACUUCAGUGACAGCAGUAAAAAGGAUGUAGUGAAGACAAUACAAGAAGUGCAGCCUGAUGUAGUUGUGGUGGAACUAUGUCAGUACAGAGUUUCUAUGUUAAAGAUGGAUGAAAAGACAUUACUUAAAGAAGCCAAAGAAAUAAAUCUGGAAAAACUUCAACAAGCUAUAAAGCAGAAUGGAGUCAUGUCUGGAUUGAUGCAAAUGCUGCUUCUGAAGGUUUCUGCUCACAUCACAGAACAGCUGGGAAUGGCCCCAGGAGGAGAAUUCAGGGAGGCUUUCAAAGAGGCCAGUAAAGUACCUUUCUGUAAAUUCCAUCUUGGAGACCGACCCAUCCCUGUUACAUUUAAGAGAGCAAUUGCUGCACUUUCUUUCUGGCAAAAAGUCAAGCUUGCCUGGGGCCUUUGCUUCUUAUCUGAUCCAAUCAGUAAGGAUGAUGUGGAGAAAUGCAAACAGAAGGAUUUACUGGAGCAGAUGAUGGCAGAAAUGAUUGGAGAAUUUCCUGAUCUUCAUCGAACGAUUGUCUCGGAGAGAGAUAUUUACUUGACCUACAUGCUGAAGCAAGCAGCAAAGCAGAUAGAACUACCUCGAGCUUCAGAAACUGAACCUAGAGAAUAUAUCCCAGCUGUUGUAGUUGGUGUUGUUGGGAUGGGUCAUGUACCUGGAAUUGAAAAGAACUGGAAUUCUGAUUUAAACAUCCAAGAAAUAAUGAGUGUGCCUCCUCCAUCAGCUUCAAGUAAGAUUUUCAAAUUUGUCAUAAAAGCAACAGUUUUUGGACUGAUGGGAUAUGGCUGCUACCGAAUAGGUCAAAGGACAGUUCAGUUUAUUCUCUCGAUGCCAGCAGCACAGAGCUAUCUUCAGAAGCUGACAGAAAUACGGUCUCAGCAUUGAACACCGAGUGGAGGCACUAUGUGAAGAAGAAGGUGGCUGAAAAAGGGUGAUAGAGGCAACAAACGUGAACUGGACUGAAAGAAGAGUGAGAUGAAAAAUCUAGUCAGAUCGAUGCUGAGCAACACUGAAUCACUGUAUAAUAAAAGAUUUGAUACUAAAGUUACACCAGCUAUGAUCUAAUGAAUAGGUUUGAUUCUUGGGGAGUGUGUUGCAUGAAACCACAUGAUUCCAGAUUGAGCAUAUCAGCAGAUUCUUCAAGGAGCCUGUUUGUGGAUGGAGAAUUUGCAAUUUAUUUUCCCACUGUUGCAAACUGGCAGAUCGUACGCAUGCACUGUUUACUCAGUAGCACUGGAAAGUCUGAUGAAUUUGCAGACCUAACAAUCCUAUGAAUCCAUACAUAAAUGCUCAGUGUUGUAUAUUCAAUGUGUUGUGCUGUUUAUGUAAUAUAAUCAGUGGUUUAGGUCCAUUCUGUUCUAGUCAGUCCUUUCAGUGUUAACAGCAUCCUGUAAAAUUUAAAUAUAUGUUGAAUUGUCUCAGCCCCACCUCAACCUUAUGAAGCCAUAUUGUAUUUUUUUGGUGACAUGUACAUCUGUUUUAUGCAUUUGUACAUGUGAUGUAAAUUUGAAGUAUUUUUAACAAUGUGUGCCUUUAUUCUAAAGUGAUUUAAAGUAAACAGCAGUAUGUUCUAUGAUAUAAAAAAUAAAGUAUUUUAACCACCAUUUCUGUUGAAGGCAUUUAUUUUCCUCAUAAAUCAGUAUUUUUAUUGAGUACAAACACCGGUUAGCUAGAUCUAGUACAUUAUAAUGUCACCAUCUAAUACAUUUUUCUGAACAAGGAGGUCAGUUGGAAUAAAUACCUCCUACUGAGGGGCAUCUGAGUGUAGUGCUGAAGGAGGGAAACUAGUUUACCUACCAUAUGUAAAUUAGUUGAGAGGAAAGGAUGAGUUUCCCUGCCCUACUGAAUGUGCAGGGAGACUGACUUCUUAACGUGAGUACUUAACUCACCAUGCCUAACUCUGAAUUUGAUUUAAUUGUCGUUGCUUUUCUUUUAAUGUUUCUCUAGUGCUCGGUCUUGCAAGGAGCUGAUGGCCUUAGUCCCAGUCCAGCAAAGUGCUCAAACACUGGCCUAACAUCAGGCAUAGUCGCUUAUUCUUAAAGUACCAUCCUCUGCAUGGGAAUUAAAGACCCUUUAAGUGGAAAAGGUGCCCGGUUAGUGGCAAAAAGAGUUUAUUCUUUCAGAUUGAGUCAGGUAAAUCAAUAUGAUCAUUACUUUAAAAAAAAUCUCUAAAAGACCCUGUGUUCAUACUGAAAGUAAGUAAAUAUAUGAUAAGCUGUAUUCCAUACAGAUAAUAUACCAGCUGAAUAGUCUGCUGAUUAUACCCUUCAUCAAGCAGUGGUACAAAUGUGAAACAAAGUGCAGUCCUGUUUUCCUUGAUCAGGCAAAGUUCCCUUUAGUUGCACUUGCAGCUGUGUCUGCAAAGAAGUGCUGGGUAAGCCAUGCAGGUGGGGAGAAAAAAUUAAUAUUGUUAAAUACUGUCCAUGGGACUGGCAGAUGACAUGCUGCACAGCACGUGAACUAUUAAGUACUGCUCAGUCAGGCAGCCUCAGUUUGCACAUCCAUGCCUACAGAAGGCAGCUGCCUGCUUUUAGAGUGUGUUGUUCACUAGUGUUACAUGCAUACUGCUGGCCUAGGUCAUGUUUAUGAUGUCUUUUCUAUACUGAAUACUGAACCAAAUUAAAUUAUUUUUGAGGUGGAUUAAUAUUGCCCAUAUUUCCACUGGAAGCUGUUUUUCUGUGUGUGUAUUGUAAACCUCUAAAGGGCACUGAAAAAUAUACCAAGUUGUCUCAAAGUGCCAGGCAGUAGUGGGAACUACACAUGGAAAAGAAACCACACACUGUCACUUGUGUAACUCUAAGAUAUUCAUGUAUGUAUUUUCCUGUUUCUUUCUAAAACUGAAAUAAAUUU